AUGCCACCAGAGCGGUACGCUGUCCAGCACCUCUACAUCGCUCCGUCGUGCCCCGUCGUAGCCAUGGGACAGUCGGAUGGGGUAGCCGCCGCCCCCAAGGAGCCAGAUCUGGCGCCGAAGCUCCCAUGGACAGCAGCGGCAGGUUCCCCGGGCGACCAGCCCCCCGUGUCUCUGCAUCGUCCGCGCCGCUGCACUGUGCCACCGCUGGACGCACGCGAGUCUCCUCCGCCCGCGCCGCCGCACUGUGCCACCGCAGGUCGCGCGCGAAUCCCUGCCGCCAGAUCACGCCCUGCGCCGCCACGCCCGGACAAGAGGAAGGGAAACACCGUCCCUGCCGCCACCGCACGGGCUUUGCUCGGGGAUGCCCUCAGGUGGCGGCUGAAGGAGAAUGGGGAUGAGUGGUGGAGGAGUCGACAUCGGCUAGGAUAA
rnacentral:rRNA from 1 species